rnacentral:rRNA from 1 species
AAGCAGGCAGAUCCAAUUUUCUGCCACCGAAUACAUUAGCAUGGCAUAAUGGAAUAGGACCCUGUCCUCCUAUUUUCAGUUGGUUUUGGCAGCGCGAGGACUAGGGUAAUGAUUAAUAGGGAUAGUUGGGGGCAUUAAUAUUUAAUUGUCAGAGGUGAAAUUCUUGGAUUUAUGAAAGAUUAACUUCUGCGAAAGCAUCUGCCAAGGAUGUUUUCAUUAAUCAAGAACGAAAGUUAGGGGAUCGAAGACGAUCAGAUACCGUCGUAGUCUUAACCAUAAACGAUGCCGACCAGCGAUUAGGAGACGUUGAAUACAAAACACCACCAUCGGCGCGGUCGUCCUUGGCGUCUCGGUCCUUCACGGGGCCGGGGCGCGGGGGCGGCUUAG